rnacentral:rRNA from 1 species
CCUACGGGUGGCAGCAGUGAGGAAUAUUGGUCAAUGGGCGCGAGCCUGAACCAGCCAAGUAGCGUGAAGGAUGACUGCCCUACGGGUUGUAAACUUCUUUUAUAAAGGAGUAAAGUGAGGCACGUGUGCCUUUUUGAAUGUACUUUAUGAAUAAGGAUCGGCUAACUCCGUGCCAGCAGCCGCGGUAAUACGGAGGAUCCGAGCGUUAACCGGAUUUAUUGGGUUUAAAGGGAGCGUAGAUGGGUUGUUAAGUCAGUUGUGAAAGUUUGCAGCUUAACCGUAAAAUUGCAAUUGAUACUGUCAGUCUUGAGUGCAGUUGAGGUAGGCGGAAUUCGUGGUGUAGCGGUGAAAUGCUUAGAUAUCACGAAGAAUACCGAUUGCGAAGGCAGCUUACUAAACUGCCACUGACAUUGAUGCUCGAAAGUGUGGGUAUCAAACAGGAUUAGAUACCCCUGUAGUC